CGACUGGCCAGCAAAAUGUACUUUUCAGAAUAAGGAACGCGUCUCUCCGUCUUUCUUAGCUCCGAUGGUGAAGAAAACUGAGACGUUAGUUAAUCCCCAUUUUAUUUCAAAAAUAUGGAUAUUCUUGAAACUGUAAGAAAGGGCUACCACCAACAGGGAGCAGCAUAUGAGGCUUAUAGGCCUGGCUAUUCUGAUGAGACUGUAGACUUUGUAUUAGAUAUGGUGAGAAAAGUGGAAAUACCAUCUCAGCAAGAAAAUACCAUCAAGUAUGAUAUAGUUGAACUUGGAGCGGGUACUGGUAAAUUUAGUAGAAAACUGUUAAGUAAAAUAAAGCAAGAGAAGUUCCUGGUAACUGAGCCAUUAGUGGAAUUUCUGGAGACGUUGAAGGAACAAAGUCCUGGUGUGGAAUCACUGCAGUGUGCUGCAAAUGAUAUCGCAUUGCCAGAUAAUUCUGUGAAAGCUUUUAUAUGUGCUCAAUGUUUCCACUGGUUUGCUAAUAAAAAGAGUUUAACAGAAAUUAAUAGAGUUCUGGCGCCAAACGGUCUUUUAGUUCUGGUAUGGAGUCUGCCUGAUGGAAAUGUGCCAUGGGUCAGAGAACUACUCACGCUACUUACAAAUAAUAUGAAAGGGAAUCAACCAGCUAACCUGUUUAAUGGUACGUGGAGUGAUGUUUUCAAAGAAUUUAAUAAUUUCAAACUGAUUGAAGACAAAAAGUUAGACGAUGACUCAGUUGGGGGAACCGUAAAAUAUUUGGUGGAUAUGUUUUCAACAUACAGCUUUAUAAAGUCCAUGGAAACAGAUGAGAAUUCGAGAGUUCUCUCGGAAAUUGGACACUUAAUAGAAAAAUAUCACCCGACCAGUUCUUAUGUUAAUUUUCCUAAUUACUUUCACGUGGU